AUCGUUUUUCAAUUCAUAAACACAGGACUGGGUGCUCAUGCCAUUGUUUGACACGUGCCUCAAACUUGCUACAAUGUUAAGCAUAUUACCCUUCUGUUU